CAAGAGUGCAUUGUAUGCAGCUCAGAAACUCUUACAGAAAAGACUGGGGAUUUCUCCACUCCAUCUCCAUUACAAAGACAUUUCCAACAAAGUCACUCAGAGAAUGAGCUCAGCAAACCCCAUGCACACCCCAAACAAAUCUGUGAUACUCACCAAGUUACAGAACAAGUAAUAUACAUUAAUGUGUGAAUUCUGAAUGCACGCUUUUCUUCCUCCUGCCUUCGCUAUUGCCGCAUAAGCAAUAUAGCAUAAACAAGAAGAGGCACUGGAAGCAUCUGGAAGACAUUCACAUCUACAUUGUGACAAAGGCACUGACUGCAGUACUUCACAAACCACACAACACGAGGUUAAGGUGCUGUGCAUCGCAGAGGACAGCUGAACGCACUGAUCUCAGAAGACCGUACUCCUUCUGUCUGAGCUAUUCAUCACAAAAUAUCAACAAAUACAGGGAAAGAAUACAAAAUAAAAACACUUAGAAAGACUUUCUGAACAUUAAAAAUAUACGUUAAGAUAAACUUGUUUUAUCUACAUAAAGUACUGAAUUACACACAACAAUAACAGAAGAACAUCCAACGAAAACAACUUUGCAGAACAGAAAUCAAGGAUGUCAGAUCACAUUCGUGCUAAGGCUUUAAAUUCUUUCUUCAUUACCUAAUAAGAAAAAAACCAACAAAAAUAUCAGUAAGCAGAAAUAAAACUGAUCAACAUUUUCUACUUUUCCACAAAAUGAAUAAAGAAUUCAUAAUGACACCCAAUUGUUAGUCACAGCUAAUAAACAGUGUGCUGCCUCUCUCACAAUGCCUUGUUAUCCCCUUUAGCUUCAGAUACAUCCUCAUGCAUCCAACCUGGAGAUUACCACAUAGAGACUCUAUGGAUCUAUACCAUAGAAUCACAGAAUGGCCAGGGUUAGAAGGGACCUCAAGGAUCAUGAAUCUCCAACCCCCCUUGCACAGGCAGGGCCACCAACCUCCCCAUUUAAUACCAGACCAGGCUGCCCAGGGCCCCAUCCAACCUGGCCUUGAACACCUCCAGGGACGGGGCAUCCACAGCCUCUCUGGGCAGCCUGUUCCAGCACCUCACCACUCUUUUGGUAAAGGACUUACCCCUGACAUCCAACCUAAAUCUUUCCCCCCCCUCAACUUGAAACCAUUUCCCCUUGACCUGCUAUUAUCUACCCUUUCAAAGAGUUGACCCCUCUCCACCCCCAUUUGUAGGCUCCCUUUAGGUACAGAAAGGCUGCAAUGAGGUCAUCCUAUAGCUUUCUCUUCUCCAGGCUAAAAUACAUCAACAAGUAAAAGGUAGAAAAUAAAUUAAAAGAAAAUGGCUUGCUUGAAGUAUUACAAGUUAAGUAACAAAGGCUCUCAAGCCCUGAAAUAAAAUAAAUCCCUU